AGAGCAGAAGGAGUAAUUAAUGAGAGAAAGAAGAUGGCAGAGAAUACGAACAAAGAGGCAUUAAAUGCUAUUGUACUCUCGCUCUUUCUCUUUUCCCUAAUUACAAUGCUACCCCUACCCUAUUUAUUUAUGCACUUUCCUCUUAAUUGGUUUAUUUGGGAAUUGUUGCAGAUUAAACUACUGCAAAAGCUCGUUAAGGACCAGAAUUUAUAUAUUAGUAGUAGUUUGUAUAUGUAAACAUAAUACAAAUUAAAGUUUGACAAUUAUACGUGUUUCAAUUGUA